GGCCCAUGAUGUAGAAAAUUUGUUCGUACUAUCUGAGAAGUAUUUUGAUGGAGUAUACAAUCUAACUCCAGGUUAGGCCA